GGAUAAAAGGUACUCCGGGGAUAACAGGCUGAUACCGCCCAAGAGUUCAUAUCGACGGCGGUGUUUGGCACCUCGAUGUCGGCUCAUCACAUCCUGGGGCUGAAGUAGGUCCCAAGGGUAUGGCUGUUCGCCAUUUAAAGUGGUACGCGAGCUGGGUUUAGAACGUCGUGAGACAGUUCGGUCCCUAUCUGCCGUGGGCGCUGGAGAACUGAGGGGGGCUGCUCCUAGUACGAGAGGACCGGAGUGGACGCAUCACUGGUGUUCGGGUUGUCAUGCCAAUGGCACUGCCCGGUAGCUAAAUGCGGAAGAGAUAAGUGCUGAAAGCAUCUAAGCACGAAACUUGCCCCGAGAUGAGUUCUCCCUGAGACUUAGAGUCUCCUGAAGGAACGUUGAAGACGACGACGUUGAUAGGCCGGGUGUGUAAGCGCAGCGAUGCGUUGAGCUAACCGGUACUAAUGAACCGUGAGGCUUAACCUUACAACGCCGAAG
rnacentral:rRNA from 2 species